rnacentral:lncRNA from 1 species
GCUUCACAAGUCGUAGAUUGUAUUUACAUCGUUCUUAAAACUGUCCAUUUGCGAACAAUCGCAACACAAUCUAUACAAGCACAUUAUAAAAUUUAUGGUAAUGAAUUUCGUAAUGAAUACGCGACUUGAAUAUGUAUCUUAAUUUCUUAUCAACCCAUAAAUGUCAUUUCAUAUAUGGCGGACCAUUCCUUCGUCCCAUUGCUAUGGCGGGCCCUCAUCCCACUUCGUUAUACUGAGUACGUUCACCUUUAUCUUGCUUGAAUGUAAUGACCUUCGAUGAAAUUGGUAUUAAUAAUCCAGUCUGGCUCCGCCCAAUUUCUUGAUUGCAUCAACGCACAUCGACAUGUCAUGGAAGUUCCAGCCCUCA